rnacentral:rRNA from 1 species
GACGAACGCUGGCGGCGUGCUUAACACAUGCAAGUCGAACGAUGAACCCGGAGCUUGCUCCGGUGGAUUAGUGGUGAACGGGUGAGUAACACGUGAGCAACCUGCCCUUGACUCUGGGAUAACUGCGGGAAACUGUAGCUAAUACCGGAUACGACCCUCGGCGGCAUCGCCAGGGGGUGGAAAGAAUUUCGGUCAAGGAUGGACUCGCGGCCUAUCAGCUAGUUGGUGAGGUAACGGCGCACCAAGGCGACGACGGGUAGCCGGCCUGAGAGGGUGAGCGGCCACAGUGGGACUGAGACACGGCCCAGACUCCUACGGGAGGCAGCAGGGGGGAAUAUUGCACAAUGGGCGCAAGCCUGAUGCAGCAACGCCGCGUGAGGGAUGACGGCCUUCGGGUUGUAAACCUCUUUUAGUAGGGAAGAAGCGAAAGUGAAGGUACCUGCAGAAAAAGCACCGGCUAACUACGUGCCAGCCGCCGCCGUAA